rnacentral:rRNA from 1 species
GAUGAACGCUGGCGGCGUGCUUAACACAUGCAAGUCGAACGGUGAAGCAGGAGCUUGCUCUUGUGGACCAGUGGCGAACGGGUGAGUAACACGUGAGCAACCUGCCCCUGACUCUGGGAUAAGCGCUGGAACCGGCGUCUAAUACUGGAUAUGUGAUGUGACCGCAUGGUCUGCAUCUGGAAAGAAUUUCGGUUGGGGAUGGGCUCGCGGCCUAUCAGCUUGUUGGUGAGGUAAUGGCUCACCAAGGCGUCGACGGGUAGCCGGCCUGAGAGGGUGACCGGCCACACUGGGACUGAGACACGGCCCAGACUCCUACGGGAGGCAGUAGUGGGGAAUAUUGCACAAUGGGCGGAAGCCUGAUGCAGCAACGCCGCGUGAGGGAUGACGGCCUUCGGGUUGUAAACCUCUUUUAGCAGGGAAGAAGCGAAAGUGACGGUACCUGCAGAAAAAGCACCGGCUAACUACGUGCCAGCCGCCGCAGUAA